AGACCCGAAACCCGGUGAUCUAGCCAUGGGCAGGUUGAAGGUUGGGUAACACUAACUGGAGGACCGAACCGACUAAUGUUGAAAAAUUAGCGGAUGACCUGUGGCUGGGGGUGAAAGGCCAAUCAAACCGGGAGAUAGCUGGUUCUCCCCGAAAGCUAUUUAGGUAGCGCCUCGUGAAUUCAUCUCCGGGGGUAGAGCACUGUUUCGGCUAGGGGGCCAUCCCGGCUUACCAACCCGAUGCAAACUGCGAAUACCGGAGAAUGUUAUCACGGGAGACACACGGCGGGUGCUAACGUCCGUCGUGAAGAGGGAAACAACCCAGACCGCCAGCUAAGGUCCCAAAGUCAUGGUUAAGUGGGAAACGAUGUGGGAAGGCCCAGACAGCCAGGAUGUUGGCUUAGAAGCAGCCAUCAUUUAAAGAAAGCGUAAUAGCUCACUGGUCGAGUCGGCCUGCGCGGAAGAUGUAACGGGGCUAAACCAUGCACCGAAGCUGCGGCAGCGACGCUUAUGCGUUGUUGGGUAGGGGAGCGUUCUGUAAGCCUGUGAAGGUGUGUCGUGAGGCAUGCUGGAGGUAUCAGAAGUGCGAAUGCUGACAUAAGUAACGAUAAAGCGGGUGAAAAGCCCGCUCGCCGGAAGACCAAGGGUUCCUGUCCAACGUUAAUCGGGGCAGGGUGAGUCGACCCCUAAGGCGAGGCCGAAAGGCGUAGUCGAUGGGAAACGGGUUAAUAUUCCCGUACUUGGUGUUACUGCGAAGGGGGGACGGAGAAGGCUAUGUUGGCCGGGCGACGGUUGUCCCGGUUUAAGCGUGUAGGUGUGUGUUCCAGGUAAAUCCGGUUCACUUUAACACUGAGGCGUGAUGACGAGGCACUACGGUGCUGAAGUAACAAAUGCCCUGCUUCCAGGAAAAGCCUCUAAGCAUCAGGUAACAUCAAAUCGUACCCCAAACCGACACAGGUGGUCAGGUAGAGAAUACCAAGGCGCUUGAGAGAACUCGGGUGAAGGAACUAGGCAAAAUGGUGCCGUAACUUCGGGAGAAGGCACGCUGACACGUAGGUGAAGUGAUUUACUCAUGGAGCUGAAGUCAGUCGAAGAUACCAGCUGGCUGCAACUGUUUAUUAAAAACACAGCACUGUGCAAACACGAAAGUGGACGUAUACGGUGUGACGCCUGCCCGGUGCCGGAAGGUUAAUUGAUGGGGUCAGCGCAAGCGAAGCUCCUGAUCGAAGCCCCGGUAAACGGCGGCCGUAACUAUAACGGUCCUAAGGUAGCGAAAUUCCUUGUCGGGUAAGUUCCGACCUGCACGAAUGGCGUAAUGAUGGCCAGGCUGUCUCCACCCGAGACUCAGUGAAAUUGAACUCGCUGUGAAGAUGCAGUGUACCCGCGGCAAGACGGAAAGACCCCGUGAACCUUUACUAUAGCUUGACACUGAACAUUGAGCCUUGAUGUGUAGGAUAGGUGGG
rnacentral:rRNA from 1 species